AGAGUUUGAUCAUGGCUCAGAUUGAACGCUGGCGGCAUGCCUUACACAUGCAAGUCGAACGGUAACGGGCCUUCGGGUGCGACGAGUGGCGAACGGGUGAGUAAUGCAUCGGAACGUACCUUUCAGUGGGGGAUAACGUAGCGAAAGUUACGCUAAUACCGCAUAUUCUGUGAGCAGGAAAGCAGGGGAUCGCAAGACCUUGCGCUGAUUGAGCGGCCGAUGUCAGAUUAGCUAGUUGGUGAGGUAAAGGCUCACCAAGGCGACGAUCUGUAGCGGGGUCUGAGAGGAUGAUCCGCCACACUGGAACUGAGACACGGUCCAGACUCCUACGGGAGGCAGCAGUGGGGAAUUUUGGACAAUGGGGGCAACCCUGAUCCAGCCAUGCCGCGUGAGUGGAGAAGGCCUUCGGGUUGUAAAGCUCUUUCGGCCGGGAAGAAAUCGCAUGGGUUAAUACCCUGUGCGGAUGACGGUACCGGCAUAAGAAGCACCGGCUAACUACGUG
rnacentral:rRNA from 1 species